GACGAACGCUUGCGGCGUGCCUAAGAAAUGCAAGUCGAGCGAGGCCAGAGAGCUUGCUCUUGAAGCCUAGCGGCGAACGGUCGCGUAACACGUAAGCAACCUGCCCUGAAGAGGGGGAUAGCCCGCCCGAAAGGCGGAUUAAUACCGCAUGUGGAUAGACAGGUGCAUGCUUGGAUAUCUAAAGCAGCGAUGCGCUUCAGGAUGGGCUUGCGGCCUAUCAGCUAGUUGGUGGGGUAACGGCCUACCAAGGCGACGACGGGUAGCUGGUCUGAGAGGAUGGUCAGCCGGACUGGGACUGAGAUACGGCCCAGACUCCUACGGGGGGCAGCAAUUAGGAAUCUUGCGCAAUGGGCGAAAGCCUGACGCAGCGACGCCGCGUGCAGGAUGACGGCCUCGGUUCGUAACUAGCUUUAAGUAGGUAAGAAGGAACUAGACUGUACUUCUUGUAUAAGACCCGCGUACUACGUAGUCCACGCAGCCGCGGUAAACGUACG
rnacentral:rRNA from 1 species